AUAAUCAAAAUGGCUUCCAGCUGGUCCUCGGUGGGAACGAUGAGGCUCGAGGCUUUAGACGUAAGCCAUAGGCCAGGGAAGGCAGACUUACUAGAGGAGGAAGGGGAUUCCUAAAUCAAAGCCCCAGCAUGAGGUUCUGGAAAAAUCUCUCUCAUUCAGUGGACCAGCAGCCCUCCCAUGGUUACUUCCUCUCAGUCAAUCUCAACCUGCUUCCCACCGGACUCUUGCCUAAAAUGCAGUGUCUUCUUCUUCUUCUUCUUCUUCUUUUUUUUGAGACGGAGUCUCGCUCAGUCGCCCAGGCUGGAGUGCAGUGGCACGAUCUCGGCUCACAGCAACCUCUGCCUCCCGGGUUCAAGUGAUUCUCCUGCCUCAGCCUCCCGAGUAGCUGAGACUACAGGUACCCGCCACAACGCCCGGCUAAUUUUUCGUAGAGACGGGGUUUCACCGUGUUAGCCAGGAUGGUCUCGAUCUCCUGACCUCGUGAUCCGCCCGCCUCGGCCUCCCAAAGUGCUGGGAUUACAGGCGUGAGCCACCGCGCCCGGCCUACAGUGUCUUCUUCUGUCCUGCUGGUAACCCUAGACUUUGACUAGCUACGGGAAAAUAUUCAUGUAUUCAUUCAACGAGAUCCUUACUCAUCGCCUGUCUUCCAAGAGGAAACAGUAUCCAUAAGCGAGAACUACCCAACAAUCAAGCUUCCAGCCAAUUUAAUCCUUUCCUCGUUGCAUCCAGUUAAAACAUACACAUGCGUCCCUCCUGUCUGAAGAACAAUCCGAUGUGUGUGCACUGGAUUCCAUCUCGCUUCUUCCCCCGGGGCUUUAUUAUUUCCUUUUGUCCCUGAAUUUUCUUCCUCUCCUCCGUUAGUAUAGAAAAAAAAAAAAAAGCUCCCAAUUCUAUGAAGUUACCAUCCUAUCUCUCUCCAUUCUUGGCCAAACAGCUCGAAAAAAUGUCCCCGCCAGCUGUCUCCAACCCCUCCCCUCCCACUCACUCCUCAACCCACUGCAAUCUGGUGCUGUCCCCAAAGUUCCACUAAAACUGCUCUCCACAAGGUCACCGCAGACUUCUUUGCUGAAUCCAGUAUGCUUCUCAGUUUGUCACUCCUCUUGAACUUUGCAGGAGGUAGGUUUUCCUCUCAUCUCUAGCCUGUCCUUUGUUCUCUCUGCAAUUUUUUUUCUUACUCACUCCUUCCCUUAACUGUUCCUUAGGGUUUUCUUCAAGAUCCUUUUAUCACUCCAUUCCCUCUCCGAGGAUGAUUUCACCGAUUUUCAUUACCAUCUCUUUGCUAAUGAUCCUCAAAUCCAUUAUUUCUAGUCCACGUCUUUCUUCUGAGUUUCCAGUUGAUUUCUGAACAUCUCCACUUGGAUAUCCCAGAGGCACCUCAGACCCAGCAACUCUCAACUAAAACUCCUCACUUUACCUUCCACAUGGGUCCUUCUUCCUGACCUGUCACUCUUAAACUGAGUGACACACCACUACAACAGCUGCCCCAAGCUGGAAAGGCCAGCAACAUUCCUGACUUCUUCUCCUUCACACACUCCUCAUCCAAUCAAUCUUGGCCAAAUCUUGUCUAUUCCACCUUCUUACCAAAUCUAAUUUCUUUGGCCUCUGGAUGGAGCUGCAUUUGCUGGCCUUCUGUAGGUUCUCUUUGGGGAGGAAGAGGCUUAAGACCUUAGAUGUGUGAUAGGCCAAAGCAGGAAGACCAUCUAGUUCAGAUCAACACUCUCAAAAGAGGCCGGGCAUGGUGGCUCAUGCCUGUAAUCCCAGCACUUUGGGAGGCCGAGGUGGGAGGAUCACCUGAGGUCAGGAGUUCGAGAUCAGCCUGACCAACAUGGAGAAACCCUGUCUCUACUGAAAAUACAAAAUUAGCUGGGUGUGGUGGCGCAUGCCUGUAAUCCCAGCUACUCGGGAGGCUGAGGCGGAAGAAUCGCUUGAACCCGGGAGGAGGAGGUUGUGGUGAGCUGAGAUCUCACCAUUGCACUCCAGCCUGGGCAACAAGAGCGAAACUCCAUUAAAAAAAAAAAAAAAAAAAAACACUCUCAAGAGAUACUGCAAUAUCAGCCGGGCACGGUGGCUCAUGCCUGUAAUCCCAACACUUUGGGAGGCCGAGGCGGGCAAAUCACCUGAGGUCAGGAGUUUGAGACCAGACUAGCCAACAUGGUGAAACCCUCUGGUGGCUCACGCCUGUAAUCCCAGCACUUUGGGAGGCCGAGGCGGAUGGAUUGCCUGAGGUCAGGA
rnacentral:lncRNA from 1 species